GGUGGCUCAGUGGUAGAGUGCUUGCCUUGCAUGCAAGAGGCCCUGGGUUCGGUUCCUCAGCACCA
rnacentral:tRNA from 1 species